rnacentral:rRNA from 1 species
GUCCGGAAUCAUUGGGCGUAAAGAGCUCGUAGGCGGCUUGGUAAGUCGGAUGUGAAACCUCCAGGCUCAACCUGGAGUCGCCAUCCGAUACUGCCAUGGCUAGAGUCCGGUAGGGGCCCACGGAACUCCUGGUGUAGCGGUGAAAUGCGCAGAUAUCAGGAAGAACACCGGUGGCGAAGGCGGUGGGCUGGGCCGGCACUGACGCUGAGGAGCGAAAGCGUGGGGAGCGAACAGGAUUAGAUACCCUGGUAGUCCACGCCGUAAACGUUGGGCACUAGGUGUGGGACCUUAUCAACGGGUUCCGUGCCGUAGCUAACGCAUUAAGUGCCCCGCCUGGGGAGUACGGCCGCAAGGCUAAAACUCAAAGGAAUUGACGGGGGCCCGCACAAGCGGCGGAGCAUGCGGCUUAAUUCGAGGCAACGCGAAGAACCUUACCUGGGUUGAAC